rnacentral:lncRNA from 1 species
AUGGUCAUGUUUAACAUGUUGUGUGUGUCUGUCUGUCUGUCUCUGUGUGUGUGUGUGUGUGUGUGCGUGUGUGUGUGUGUGUGUGUGCGUGUGUGUGUGUGUGUGUGUGCGUGUGUGUGUGUGUGUGUGUGCGUGUGUGUGUGUGUGUGUGUGCGUGUGUGUGUGUGUGUGUGUGCGUGUGUGUGUGUGUGUGUGUGCGUGUGUGUGUGUGUGUGUGUGCGUGUGUGUGUGUGUGUGUGUGCGUGUGUGUGUGUGUGUGUGUGCGUGUGUGUGUGUGUGUGUGUGCGUGUGUGUGUGUGUGUGUGUGCGUGUGUGUGUGUGUGUGUGUGCGUGUGUGUGUGUGUGUGUGUGCGUGUGUGUGUGUGUGUGUGUGCGUGUGUGUGUGUGUGUGUGUGCGUGUGUGUGUGUGUGUGUGUGCGUGUGUGUGUGUGUGUGUGUGCGUGUGUGUGUGUGUGUGUGUGCGUGUGUGUGUGUGUGUGUGUGCGUGUGUGUGUGUGUGUGUGUGCGUGUGUGUGUGUGUGUGUGUGCGUGUGUGUGUGUGUGUGUGUGCGUGUGUGUGUGUGUGUGUGUGCGUGUGUGUGUGUGUGUGUGUGCGUGUGUGUGUGUGUGUGUGUGCGUGUGUGUGUGUGUGUGUGUGCGUGUGUGUGUGUGUGUGUGUGCGUGUGUGUGUGUGUGUGUGUGCGUGUGUGUGUGUGUGUGUGUGCGUGUGUGUGUGUGUGUGUGUGCGUGUGUGUGUGUGUGUGUGUGCGUGUGUGUGUGUGUGUGUGUGCGUGUGUGUGUGUGUGUGUGUGCGUGUGUGUGUGUGUGUGUGUGCGUGUGUGUGUGUGUGUGUGUGCGUGUGUGUGUGUGUGUGUGUGCGUGUGUGUGUGUGUGUGUGUGCGUGUGUGUGUGUGUGUGUGUGCGUGUGUGUGUGUGUGUGUGUGCGUGUGUGUGUGUGUGUGUGUGCGUGUGUGUGUGUGUGUGUGUGCGUGUGUGUGUGUGUGUGUGUGCGUGUGUGUGUGUGUGUGUGUGCGUGUGUGUGUGUGUGUGUGUGCGUGUGUGUGUGUGUGUGUGUGCGUGUGUGUGUGUGUGUGUGUGCGUGUGUGUGUGUGUGUGUGUGCGUGUGUGUGUGUGUGUGUGUGCGUGUGUGUGUGUGUGUGUGUGCGUGUGUGUGUGUGUGUGUGUGUGUGUGUGUGUGUGUGUAAAGGGAAAUUAAUUGUCAGUUGUCUUGGAAUAUGCCUU